UACCAGCCCCGCGAGUGGUUGGGACGCUUACUAGGCCCAAAGCGCCUGUAGCCGGCCCUGUAAGUCCCUCCCUAAAGGCCCGGGCUCAACCCGGGAACUGGGAGGGAUACUGCAUGGCUAGGGGGCGGGAGAGGUCGGAGGUACUCCCGGAGUAGGGGCGAAAUCCACAGAUCCCGGGAGGACUACCAGUGGCGAAGGCGCCCCGCUAGAACGCGCCCGACGGUGAGAGGCGAAAGCCGGGGCAGCAAAAGGG
rnacentral:rRNA from 1 species